UACAGAGGUCUCAAGCGUUGUUCGGAUUCAUUGGGCGUAAAGGGUGCGUAGGCGGCGCGGUAAGUCGGGUGUGAAAUCCCUCGGCUUAACCGGGGAACUGCGUCUGAUACUGGAUGGCUAGAGGUUGGGAGAGGGAUGCGGAAUUCCAGGUGUAGCGGUGAAAUGCGUAGAUAUCUGGAGGAACACCGGUGGCGAAGGCGGCAUCCUGGACCGAUACUGACGCUGAGGAGCGAAAGCCAGGGGAGCAAACGGG
rnacentral:rRNA from 1 species